rnacentral:rRNA from 1 species
UGGGGAAUCUUGCGCAAUGGGCGAAAGCCUGACGCAGCCAUGCCGCGUGAAUGAUGAAGGUCUUAGGAUUGUAAAAUUCUUUCACCGGGGACGAUAAUGACGGUACCCGGAGAAGAAGCCCCGGCUAACUUCGUGCCAGCAGCCGCGGUAAUACGAAGGGGGCUAGCGUUGCUCGAAAUUACUGGGCGUAAAGGGAGCGUAGGCGGACAUUUAAGUCAGGGGUGAAAUCCCGGGGCUCAACCUCGGAAUUGCCUUUGAUACUGGGUGUCUUGAGUAUGAGAGAGGUGUGUGGAACUCCGAGUGUAGAGGUGAAAUUCGUAGAUAUUCGGAAGAACACCAGUGGCGAAGGCGACACACUGGCUCAUUACUGACGCUGAGGCUCGAAAGCGUGGGGAGCAAACAGGAUUAGAUACCCUGGUAGUCCACGCCGUAAACGAUGAUUGCUAGUUGUCGGGAUGCAUGCAUUUCGGUGACGCAGCUAACGCAUUAAGUAAUCCGCCUGGGGAGUACGGUCGCAAGAUUA